rnacentral:rRNA from 1 species
ACACCAGUUGAUCCUGCUGGAGGACACUGCUAUCGGAUUUCGAUUAAGCCAUGCAAGUUCUGCGGUUCAAGCGUUGAGCCGCAGCGUACGGCUGAGUAACACGUAAUCAACCUAACCUAGUGACGGGGACAACCUUGGGAAACUGAGGGUAAUUCCCGAUAGGCCAGGGAUUCUGGAACGAGUCCUGGCCGAAAAGGGCGCGCGGAUUGCAGCGCGUUCCGCACUAGGAUGGGAUUGCGGCUGAUUAGCUAGUUGGUGGGGUAACGGCCCACCAAGGCGAUAAUCAGUAGGGGCUAUGGGAGUAGGAGCCCCCAGACGGGCACUGAGACAAGGGCCCGAGCCCUACGGGGUGCAGCAGGCGCGAAACUUCCACAAUGCGCGAAAGCGUGAUGGGGGAAAUCCGAGUGAUGGCCUAACGGCCAUCUUUUACCAAGUUUGAUUCGCUUGGGGAAUAAGGGGUGGGUAAAUCCUGUGCCAGCCGCCGCGGUAACACAGGUAGCCCAAGUGGUGUCCACGAAUAUUGAGCUUAAAGCGUUCGUAGCCGGUUCGGCCAGUUUCCUGUGAAAUCUCUUCGCUUAACGAAGAGGCGUGCAGGGAAUACUACCGGGCUAGGGAGUGGGGGAGGUCAGAGGUACGCUAGGGGGAACGGUAAAAUGUUGUAAUCCUUGGCGGACCACCAGUGGCGAAGGCGUCUGGCCAAAACACGUCCGACGGUGAGGGACGAAGGCUAGGGGAGCAAAUCGGAUUAGAUACCCGAGUAG